rnacentral:lncRNA from 1 species
CUGGAGAGUUUGGGGAUACUUGAUUUCCUUACCUCCCACCCCUAUUCCAAGGUGCCUGUGGAAUUAGGUUGCUAGAGCUCUCAGUUGUUAGACUGAGCUGAUACCACAGGUAUGUACACAUUAAGACUAGAUGCAUGAGCAUCUGUGCCUGUCUGCUUUGUGUGUUUCCUGCUCAGAUUCAGUUGGAAACCAUGCUUUUCUUUACUUUCACAAGGGUGAUCUUGUGUUAGUGAGGAGGAGGAUGUAAACACCUGAGACCUGCCUUCGUGUUUGACCAGAACAGUUGAUAAACUAGUCUCGCUUCCUAACUGUAACUAUUUUUUCUUUUCUGUAAUGAGGCUCCUCCAUCCAAGGGAUAUAGUCCCACUUUAUUUUUCCAAAUACCUGGCUGUGAGUAUGUCUCCAAAGUAACAGAAAGGAUGGGCAAACUCCUCCACUGAUGGAUGGAGCUGCUUGCGUCCCCUCCGGCAGCUUUGCUUCCCUGGCCAGUGUCUGAAGCCAGUCUGUGUUGGCCACCCAUGGAACCUGUCCAGGUUGUCUCUCCUUCCACCCAGAAUGGAACAGAGGGCAGCUUCCCUGAGUUUCUCUCAACAUAAAUGAGACUGUGGCUCUCCUGAGGACAUUUCCAUGAUUUAUCACAGAGCACUUUGGUUGAGAUGAGUGGGCAUGGCUGGAGAAAAAGUGCAGGGGCCUCUCCUGCAGCAAUUGAGGGGUGAUUGAUUCCCAAAAGUGUUACAGGUGAAACCAAGGUCCUAGGACACUGUGCUGUUCUUUGUCACCUUGACACAAGUUAGAGUCACCUGGGAAGAGGGAAUCUCAACUGUAAAGAUGCCUCUACCAUACUGGACUGUAGGCAAGCUCAUGGGCCAUUUUCUUGAUUAAAAAUUGAUAUGGAAUGGCCCAGCCCUUGGGUGCUCUAAGGCUGAGCAAGCCAUGAGGGAGCCAGUCAAUAGUCCAUGGCUUCUGCAUCAAUUCCUGCCUCCAGAUUUCUGUGUUACGAUAAAUCUUUCUGCCAAAAGCCACCUGAGCCCCACCGCCACAUGUGAGCUUUAUGCCAGCCGCCCACCUAAGUUAAGGCCCAAAUGAAUACACAGAAACUUGUAUUAG